rnacentral:rRNA from 1 species
GACGAUUCCUACGGGAGGCAGCAGUGGGGAAUAUUGCACAAUGGGGGAAACCCUGAUGCAGCAACGCCGCGUGAAUGAUGAAGGUCUUCGGAUCGUAAAGUUCUGUCUUCAGGGACGAUAAUGACGGUACCUGAGGAGGAAGCCACGGCUAACUACGUGCCAGCAGCCGCGGUAAU